UCAGUCCUGGGGUUUGGAGUACUUGCCUGUUGGAUGCCUGUUUAUGGUGAAACGAAAUUCUCCUAGGAUCAUGUGAUCAGCGUGGUCCACACUGGUGGCGCUAUUUGGGAGGAGACUUCGGGAGGUGGGGCCUAGCAGAGGGCUGUAGGUCAGUGGGUCAGCUACCUUAUCCUGCUCUCACUCCCUCUCUCUCCUCCUCCCCAUCUCCCUCUCAACCAUGAACCGACAUGCCUGAAUUGUAUUCUUAAUCCUCUUUUUAAGUAAUUGCGGGUGCUUCUCUACAGUAGUAAAAAGCUAAGUGAGGACCAGUCGGAGACGUUGGUUGGCACUUGAGUCUGAGGGAGGCUCUGCUCUAAAGGAAAGCUUUUCUACCGUAACAGCUGCACAGGGACAGAGGACCUGGAAGUCAUCUGAUUGGCCGAACAUUCCUGCCACCCCACCCAACUCCCAGCAGUAAGCAAAGCCAGAAAUGAGAAUCACGCCCUUAUUAACCUACCUUGUCUCUGCUCCUUAAAAACCUACACAGGUCUUCCUGCCUCAGAGACUUUGAAUUUAGGGUGGUGGGGGCUCGGAAUGCUGUUUCCCGGGUAGUCUGUGGGGAAACCCAUCCCAUCAGAGAUCUUUCAGUCAGUGUGUCAUCUCUCUGGAAGAACUCCUGUUACCAUCUUUGGCUCAGCCUCUCCAAGGCCCCCAACGCAGCCUCUUGUUUGUCACCCACAACAGCACAUCACUAACCGUAAGAACUUUGUAAAAAGAUUUAACUUCUAGUGCCUUGAGUUUUAACUUUGCCAUGAUGAUAAUGGAAUGAUGCUCUGAAACUAUAAGCCACCCCAAUUAAAUGCCUUCCUUUAUAAGAGUUGCCUCUUUUCACAGCAAAGGAAACCCUAAUGAAGACAAAAUUUGGUACCAGGAGUGGGGUAUUGCUGUGCGAGGCCUGACGAUGCUUUUGUUUGGAGGAAUGUGGAUUUGGGAACUUUGGAUUAGGAAAGCAGUUGAACUUUUUAAGUGGGGCUUAAUGCACCAUCCUAGAAGGAGCAUGGAAGACAGGUGCGCUGAGAAUGAUUUGAAUUUGGGGGCCUGGCUCAAGAGGUUUCAGAGAAGAAUUUUAGUAUGUGGUCUAGAGACUGUUAUUAUGAUAUCUUGUCAAAGAAUAUAGCUGCCUUUUCUCCUUUUCUGAAAAGUCUGCCUGAGGCUAAACUGAAGAGUUUUGGUUAGUUAAGUUGGCAGAGGAAAUUUCAAAACAUCCUAGUCUUGACUCUGUCCUGUGGUUAUUACUGUUCACUCUUAUGAAGAUCUGUAAUGAAAAAGAGCAAGCUGAGCAAAGACAGCUACAAAAUGUGCAGUAUGUGGGGAAGAGAGGAACCAGGAAGUGGAACGAAGUGAAGUCCUACGCUUAAGGAGAUAAACAGAGUAAAGAAAAACCUGAUGUUAAAUGAAAUAAAGGCAAGGCCCCACCCAACUAUGCUUCCAACCUGCAAAAAGGAACUAAAGAGCUAGUUUCAGAACAGCCAAGUUUAGGCAGCAAAGGAAACCAUUGAAAACAGAAAGUUGGAGAAGAUGUAAUUGAAUGAAGGGGUUGGGGCAUGUUCCAGCCCCAGCAAGCAGCAGAACUUGCCAGCUUCAGCCACAUGGUUCUGGCUUUAGAAUCAAGGAUAGAAGAAGUGGUUAUAGAAUCUCUGUGACUAAGGAAAGCCUCUGAGGCCAGGCACAUGUCAGGGGUGGCCUGUCAUGGAGGCCCAGAGAGGCCACUGUGUGAAGCUGUAAAGAUGAAGCCUGGAUUGCCUUGGAGACCCCAAGAUAUUGGAGAUGCCAGAGUCAUGUGAUACCUGCCAAGGAGAGCUGCUAACAGGGUAUGGAACCAGCCUAAGAGAGAGACGCAUGUUGCAGUCAACAAAGCUGAAAGGAGUUGGGGAUCUGAAGACAUCAGACAUGGAGAUGCAGAUUUUGGAGUGUGCCCAGCUGGUUUUCAGUCUUGCUUUGGUCCAGUGUUUCCUCACAGUGCUCCCUCCUCCAUUUGGAAUAAUGAUGUGAAUCCUGUGCUGUUAUAUAUUGGAAGUAUGUGACUAUGGUUUAGAUUUUAUAGGGGAUUACAGUUAGAAGAUUGCAUGAGACUCAGAAGAAACUUUGAACUUUCACAGGGUUGAGACUGUUACAGACUAUGGGGACUUCUGCAGUUGGACUAAACACAUUUUGCAUUAUAAUAUGGAUACACACACAUGCACAGACACACACAUGCACAGACACACACAUACACAGACACACACACACAUAUAUAUAUAUGUACAUAUAUAUACAUAUGUAUAACCUAUAUAUCAGGAAGUGUAAUGUAGUAGUUUGAAUAAAACUGGCCCCCAUAGGCACAUAGUGACACUAUUAGGAGGUGUGGCCUUGUUGGAGGAAGCAUGUCUCAGUUUCUCCUUGCUGCCUGCUGAUCUGGAUGUUGAACUCUCAGCUCCUUCUCCAGCACCAUGUCUGCCUGUUCACUGAUCUGUUCCCCGCCAUGACGAUAUUGGACUAAACCCCUGAAACAGCAAGCCAGCCCCAAUGAAAUGUUCUCCUUUAUAAGAGUUGCCAUGGUUACAGUGUCUCUUCACAACAACAAAAUCCAAACUAAGAUAGUAAUUUUAAAAAGAUUUUAAAAGAUUUUAAAAAGAUUUUCAUGUUUGUGAGUGCCUGUAUUUUGUUAUCCAUGUGUAUGCAGUACCCAUGGAGGCCAGAAGAGGGGGCCAGUGUGGUGAAAAUGGAACCCUGAUCCUCUGCAGGAGCAGCAACUGCUUUUAACUACCGAACCAUCUUUCCAG
rnacentral:lncRNA from 1 species